ACACAAUCCGAAGCCCCUGGGUCUGUGCAGUGACCAGCCAGUCCCCUGAGAACUUUCCCCUCCAGCACCCGGGAAAAUGGGAUUUUUGAUUCUUGUAAUUUUCGCUCUAGCAGCUUUGGAAGGUGUCCGGUCCCAGGUACAGCUGGUGGAGUCCGGAGGGGAUGUGAAAAAGCCCGGAGACUCUCUCCGCCUCUCCUGCAAAGCCUCUGGCUUCACCUUCACCGACUACGGGAUGAGCUGGGUCCGACAGGCUCCCGGGAAGGGGCUGGAGUGGGUCGCUACAGUCAGUCAGCCAAGUGGAUCCAGCCAGUGGUAUUCCCCGGCCGUUCAAGGCCGAUUCACCAUCUCCCGGGACAACUCCGUCAGCUCGGCUUAUCUACAAAUGACCGGCCUCAAAGCCGAGGACACUGGCCGCUAUUACUGUGCUAGAGACACGGUGGCACAAAGCUUAGUAGCGCUGAUGCAAAAACCCAGACUGCACCAUCUCCCCCGAGCCGCGUGA